AAAAAUGCAUGUAACUGAAGGUUGCUAGCAUUUCUUUCUUGUCUUCCCUCAAGGUGCUAUUAGAGGUCUUUCGCAGACUUCUUUCGAAGUAAUACUGUCUAAGAAGAAGCUUAUGAAAAGCAUGGAGCAACAAUGUGAUGCGGAAAACUUUAUGCAUGAGGAGUGAAUGGGUAAGCUUCAUGACCAUGUUCUUCAACAAGCUCAACAGCAUUUGAAUUCAGAGUCUUCCCAUCAGGAUCAAGAACAACAAGCAUCGGCAGUGUCUCGAGCUCAAAGUAGUGGGGUAAAAUUUCCAAGGCCUUGUCCUUGAAGGGGAUAGCAAGCCAAGGCAUGCUCGCAAAGCUUUUCAUACACCUUCACUAGCAAUGGCGUGAACUCACUGCUACCAGGGAAAGAGCUUGCUGAGAAGUAGAUACCUACAACUUUCCCCUCAAGCUCUGACACAGAUAAAAAGUGAAAAGAUCGGAACCUGAUCCCCAUUGUGGCGGAUGAGGAAGUCUCUGGACUUGCCGGAGAGGAUCGAGACGAGAUCAUGGCUUUCCGACGCCGUUGAACGUCGUUUCAACACCCACCAUUGAAGAAGAAAGAGGGAUUCAGUGAUGCUUCUUUUUGGCUUUCAGGUAUUCUAUUUAUACUGUGAUUUCUCAGACCAAGCUAAUAAAUUAAUAAAAUAAGAUAAAAUAAAAUAAAAUAAAAAGUUUAUGUUGACGUGGACUUGAAAUAUUAAAAGACUAGAAUAAGAUCAAUAGCAUGCAACUAUCAAGGGAAGAACUUCACACGUGAGGUCUUUUUAGUUUUUACUAUCAGGGAUUAGAUUAGGUUCUAUUUUUAAUCUAUUUUUUAUUUUAUUAUGUAUCAGUUGUUUUUUGU